rnacentral:rRNA from 1 species
UACGGUAGGGGGCAAGCGUUGUCCGGAUUUAUUGGGCGUAAAGAGCGUGUAGGCGGCCAUGUAGGUCCGUUGUGAAAACUCGAGGCUCAACCUCGAGACGCCGAUGGAAACCAUGUGGCUAGAGUCCGGAAGAGGAGAGUGGAAUUCCUGGUGUAGCGGUGAAAUGCGCAGAUAUCAGGAAGAACACCCGUGGCUAAGGCGGCUCUCUAGUACGGUACUGACGCUGAGACGCGAAAGCGUGGGGAGCGAACAGG